rnacentral:Y_RNA from 1 species
GGCUGCUCUGAAUGUAGUGAGUUCCCUCAGUUGAUUGUUUACACUCAAUUGCAGAUGGGAAUGCUUGUUCUAUUUCCUUCCCUCUUCUGCUAUUGCACUAGAUUAGCCUAAA